rnacentral:rRNA from 1 species
UACGUAGGUGGCAAGCGUUGUCCGGAAUUAUUGGGCGUAAAGGGAGCGCAGGUGGGAAGGUAAGUCUGUCUUAAAAGUGCGGGGCUCAACCCCGUGAGGAGAUGGAAACUAUUUUUCUUGAGUGCAGGAGAGGAAAGUGGAAUUCCUAGUGUAGCGGUGAAAUGCGUAGAUAUUAGGAGGAACACCAGUGGCGAAGGCGACUUUCUGGACUGUAACUGACACUGAGGCUCGAAAGCUAGGGUAGCAAACG